UACGGGGGGAGCAAGCGUUGUCCGGAAUCAUUGGGCGUAAAGCGCGCGUAGGUGGCCUCGUAAGUCCGCUGUGAAAGUCAAAGGCUCAACCUUUGAAAGCCGGUGGAUACUGUGAGGCUAGAGUACGGAAGAGGCGAGUGGAAUUCCUGGUGUAGCGGUGGAAUGCGCAGAUAUCAGGAGGAACACCGAUGGCGAAGGCAGUUCUCUGGGCCGUAACUGACGCUGAGGAGCGAAAGCGUGGGGAGCGAACAGG
rnacentral:rRNA from 1 species